AACGUAGGAGACAAACGUUAUCCGGAGUUACUGGGCGUAAAGGGCGUGUAGGUGGUUUUGUAAGUCUGGCGUGAAAUUUUUCGGCUUAACCGGGAAAGGUCGUCGGAUACUGCAAGGCUAGAGGAUGGUAGAGGCGUGUGGAAUUCCGGGUGUAGUGGUGAAAUGCGUAGAGAUCCGGAGGAACACCAGUGGCGAAGGCGACACGCUGGGCCAUACCUGACACUGAUGCGCGACAGCAUGGGGAGCAAACAGG
rnacentral:rRNA from 1 species